UACAGUUAAUGAACAAAAGAUCAUUGCUUAGUGUCUAACUGCAGCAUUAAGGCUCUGUAUUGAAUUCACUGAAAAGGUGAUGUGACAGAGGACAAACGGGACUAGGUGAGGGGUUUCACCUUGUUCUGUGGGGGCUCCAACCUCCUCUAUCACUUCCUAUGUAUUGUUUUAUUCUCACAACUUAAAUAUCUAUUUGAGGGGGAAAAAUGCAUUCUUCUGUCUUGUGCAGAGAUAUAUAAUAUAGUGCUUAUAACAUGUGUACUGGUUUAUAUUAUUAAAUACAAUAACUUGCAUUUUUAUCCAGUGGGCUAAGAAAAACAUAUUUAAGGAGAAAAGGCCAUUCUGAAGCACAUUUUUAAGUGUUAGGGCUAUUGAUUCGAAGACUACAUGUUGUAAGUGUGUAAAUAUUAAAUGUGAAUAUAACUAUAUUUUAUGAUUUAAUUGCUAAUAAGAAAGCAGAAUGAUAAACAUCUAAGAGGAAAUGUGUAAAAACUGAAUUGCAGGAAUGUAUUUUUAUCUUAGGUCAAAGAAAAAUGACUGAAGAUACUUGUUAAAGAGGAUAAGGAAGACUUAAUUCAAAAUGAGCCACCACAAUGGGGGGUGGAGCAGUUACAUACCAGACACAAGGAAUCGAGUCAAUUACCUGGCUGAAACUAAAUAUGUUCUCAUUUAAUAUCACACAGGACACCUCUCAGCCGUUCUACUAUCUCACUCUCUGA
rnacentral:lncRNA from 1 species